GAUGAACGCUGGCGGCGUGCCUAAUACAUGCAAGUCGAGCGAACAGAUGAGGAGCUUGCUCCUCUGACGUUAGCGGCGGACGGGUGAGUAACACGUGGAUAACCUACCUAUAAGACUGGGAUAACUUCGGGAAACCGGAGCUAAUACCGGAUAAUAUAUUGAACCGCAUGGUUCAAUAGUGAAAGACGGUUUUGCUGUCACUUAUAGAUGGAUCCGCGCCGCAUUAGCUAGUUGGUAAGGUAACGGCUUACCAAGGCAACGAUGCGUAGCCGACCUGAGAGGGUGAUCGGCCGCACGGGAGCGGAGACACGGUCCAGACUCCUACGGGAGGCAGCAGUAGGGAAUCGUCCGCAAUGGGCGAAAGCCUGACGGAGCAACGCCGCGUGAGUGAUGAAGGUCUUCGGAGCGUAAAACUCUGUUAUUAGGGAAGAACAGAUGUGUAAGUAACUAUGCACGUCUUGACGGUACCUGAUCAGAAAGCCACGGCUAACUACGUG
rnacentral:rRNA from 1 species